GAUGAACGCUGGCGGCGUGCCUAAUACAUGCAAGUCGAGCGAACAGACGAGGAGCUUGCUCCUCUGACGUUAGCGGCGGACGGGUGAGUAACACGUGGAUAACCUACCUAUAAGACUGGGAUAACUUCGGGAAACCGGAGCUAAUACCGGAUAAUAUAUUGAACCGCAUGGUUCAAUAGUGAAAGACGGUUUUGCUGUCACUUAUAGAUGGAUCCGCGCCGCAUUAGCUAGUUGGUAAGGUAACGGCUUACCAGGCAACGAUGCGUAGCCGACCUGAGAGGGUGAUCGGCCACACUGGAACUGAGACACGGUCCAGACUCCUACGGGAGGCAGCAGUAGGGAAUCUUCCGCAAUGGGCGAAAGCCUGACGGAGCAACGCCGCGUGAGUGAUGAAGGUCUUCGGAUCGUAAAACCCUGUUAUUAGGGAAGAACAAAUGUGUAAGUAACUAUGCACGUCUUGACGGUACCUAAUCAGAAAGCCACGGCUAACUACGUG
rnacentral:rRNA from 1 species